rnacentral:rRNA from 1 species
UACGUAGGGGGCUAGCGUUGUCCGGAAUCAUUGGGCGUAAAGAGCGUGUAGGCGGUCCGGUAAGUCCGCUGUGAAAGUCGGGGGCUCAACCCUCGAAUGCCGGUGGAUACUGUCGGGCUAGAGUGCGGAAGAGGCGAGUGGAAUUCCUGGUGUAGCGGUGAAAUGCGCAGAUAUCAGGAGGAACACCUAUUGCGAAGGCAGCUUGCUAAACAAACAUUGACGCUGAGGCACGAAAGCGUGGGGAUCAAACAGG